AAACGUCAAAUCGUAUGACGUAUCACUGAGUGUUUAUGAAUAUAAUAUACUUUUGUUCCAAAUGCCUCAAUGCAGUGCGUUAAAUUGUAAAACAGAGGAAUACAUUUAUUUCCAAAGGAAAGUAAACGUAGAAAGCAAUGGGAAUCUGCGUUACGUAUAAAAACUUCGAAGCUAGUAGCACAGCACGAUUGUGUGUUGCGCAUUUUACAGAAAAAGAUUAUUACGGGAAAAUCAAUUAUACAGGUUAUGAGCUCCUUGCAAAAUUUCUUAAAAAGACAGCUGUGCUAUCUGUGUUCUUCUUAACGAAGAUAAAACCAGAAAAUCCAGCUGCUGUGGCACAUCAACAACGUAUUGAACGAAGAAGUCAGUCGAGUAACAAAUGUAGAUGAUUCACAACCAUCAAGUAGCAAAGUUAACCUAAUAAGUGACAGAGACAAUUUACUGGAAGUUGAUCAUGAAGAAGCAGUCAAAACAGAAGACAACAGUGCAGUAGGAUGUACAUAUAUUAUGCAUGAAUUUAUAUCUAAGGGCACUCAAGUUGAUCAAGAACACAAAUAUGGGUUUAUGAAUAGAUAUAAAGAUGAUAAUGCCACUAUUAAGUUUUACACAGGUUUUGAAUCAUAUAAAAAUUGAAUUUAGUCUACUCAGCUCUUAGUCCAGUGGUUCACAAAAUAAAAUAUUAUGGCAGCAAUGUGAUUAUUCUUAGCAGUGAUUCUAAUUCUAAUUUAUUAGUUGGUGCAAUACCUGGUAGCUUGCUGUUAUAUUGUUCUCAAGCAUUUGCAGGAUUGAUAAGUGAUCAGUAGGCAGUGGAACAAAGUGACCUUUUAGCAAAAUGUGAAAGUGGUAGUAGUAUACUGACUGACAGAGGAUUUAUGAUACAAUAUAUAUUUCAUCAGACAAAAAUGUGACCAUUAGGAUUCCCAGUUUCUUAAAAGAAAAAUUUCAGUUGCCUGGUCUUAAUGUAAUAAAAGAUAGGGAGCUUGCAAACAAAGGAGUUCAUAUAGAAA